UAGGAUCAUACUCGCAAGAAAAGCGUGAGCCGCCGUAAAGAAAAAAAGAGCGAUCUUGAAGAAGAAACAUCGAGCACUGGUGUUCGGCCUUUCUGGUCGCCGCUGACUGCUUCUCUUCUCUCUUCUCCUUUUAUUUUUGCUCUCCUCCUCCUCUUAGUUGAUGGCGUCAAUAUGUAUGGUGCCUCUGGUUGGGGUCUGUUCGGCGUUGGAUUCUAGAUCUGCUCCGGGAGAGCUAGAUUCGGCGGUCUGGGGCUCCUUGUUGGAGCAUCGACGAGACGUCUUCGGUUUGAAGGGUAAGGGAGUCGGCUUUUAAGAUGUAUAUGUGUCAGAUCUCGUUUUUCUCUUUGUAGAUCUGGGUUCUGUUUGUUUCGAUGUCGGCGUGGAUGAUUUGGAAACAUGCUCUAUCCUCUGUUUCUUCUCUGUGACAAGCAGCAUUGGUCUUUGUGGAGGGGUUUGUGAGCUUUAGAUGCGGUUGGGGGUUGGCGACUUACCUAGGCUUGGGAGUGUCUCCCCUUUCUAUGGAGUUAUCUCUGGUGGUUGUUCAUCUUUAUUGGUCAGAGCCUUGUUGUGAGCUCAAUUCUAGUUUUGUGAGGAUAGGAUGGAAAUACCUGUGUUUUGGAGUUAAUGCUUCUUUGCUGGUCGAUUUCUGCCGUUCUAUUAGUAAUAGUCCUGGUGUUGGAGUGGUUUUCAUCCAGUUACCAGCUGUGUGAAUAAGACGUGUGUUCGGGAAGCUUUUAUAGGCUUCGCCGUGGGGUGUUGGUGCGUAUGAAGCGCUUAGAGAACCUACUCAAAGUCCAAUGGCAAGUCUUAGUUGGGAUUGAAGGAUGUUUAUAGCGACGGUUAAGGAUUCAAACCUCUCUCGACCCAGUUUAUGUUUUGGUGAUGUUCGUGUGCUUCCAGGUUAUCUCGCUGCUCUUCUUAUCUUGAGGUUAUUGUUGAUGAGUUCUCGCUAGGUAACCUCGUCUUUGGGUACAAGGUUGAAGCCUCCUCUCCCGUUGUUCUGUUCUAUUAUCCUGCAUCUCGACAUCUUUCUUUUUCUUUGUUGUUGUUAGCUUUGGGGGUUUGUGUUUUGUUCAUCUGUUGGCUUUGGGAGGUAUAUAUUACCUCGCCGGCUCUUGGCUUCAGACAAUGUCUUUAUUGUAUGUGUGUAACCGAAUGUUUGAUCUAAUCUUAAUCUACCAUAUGACAAAAAAAAAAAACGGUGUGUGCAGGUGAAACCAUCUUCAAGUUUCUUGUUUUGGAACUCUCUUUCUCACAUUAUAUCAUUUUUUCGGUUCGCUCUUUCUCGUCUGAUCAAAAAUGGGAGGUUUUUUCUCUGUUACCUUGUCUGGUGAUCAAGUACUGAAAGAUGUUUCCCACCUUUCAUGCUUCAAAGCGAGUUACAUUAAUAGUCUUGAGGAGAAUCUCGCAGCUAUGCAGAGUGACAGGGAAGAGCUCAAGGCAAGACAAACUGAUGUGUUAAGAAGGGUCGAGAGGGAAGAGGAAGCCAAAAGUAUGCAACGGCUUGCAGAAGCCAACGUAUGGCUUAAAAAUGUUGAUAACGUCAGUAGAAAAGUCAGUUAUCUGCUUAGCAAUAGAACUACUGAACUUCAAAGGUUAUGUUCAAAGAAGUCAAGAUCAAACUACGGUUAUGGUUAUGGGAAAAGGGUGUCUUUAGUGUUGAAAAAGGUUAAUGACCUCAACUCUAAAAGAGUUUUUGAAGUUGUGGCUGAGCCGGCUACUGAAACGUCUACAAAGGAGAAGAGGCUCUCCAGAUCCAGACUGGAUAUUGUUGGCCAGGAAACAAUUCUCAAGAGGACUUUGAGCCUCCUCGUGAGUGGUGAAACCGGGAGUAUAUGUCUGUACGGAGUUGGUGGCGUAGGCAAAUCAACUAUUCUCCGAGAGAUCAGCAACAAGAUCACUGCCAGAUUUGAGUUUGUGAUUUGGGUUGUUGUGUCUCAACAUCUGCAUGUCAAGAAGAUUCAAGAAGAAAUUGGUAAGAAGCUAGGCUUUCAUGGGGAGGAGUGGAACCAAAAAGAGGAAAGCCAGAAGGCCAAUGAUAUACACAACUUCAUGAAGGACAGGAGAUUUGCGUUGUUACUGGAUGAUGUGUGGACGAAAGUGGACUUAACGAAGGUAGGAGUCCCAUCACCAACAAACGAAAACAAAAGCAAAAUAGCAUUCACCACCCGCUCUCGAGAGGUCUGUGUGCAGAUGGGGGUUGCUGACCCGAUUUAAGUCCAGUGCCUUGCUGAGAAUGGUGCUUGGGACUUGUUUCAGAUGAAAGUUGGAGGACACGCAAGCUGCUCGAAAAUUCAGGAGACGGCAAGAGAAGUUUAUGGAAGAUGUCAUGGUCUACCACUGGCGCUGAAUGUUCUUGGCGAGACCCAUGUCUUGCAAGAAGAAGGUGCGAGAAUGGAAUGAUGCACUGCACGUCCUGAAUUCUUCACCUCGCAUAGAGUUUGCAGAAAAGGAAGAUGAAAUUCUCUUGAUUCUCAAGUAUAGCUAUGACAGUUUGAAAGAUGGAAAGUUGAAGUCAUGCUUCCAGUACUGUGCUCUAUUCCCUGCAGGUUCUAUGUUGAGUAAAGAUAGUUUGAUAGAGUAUUGGGAAGUCGAAAGUCGUUAUAUAGCCAAGAAUCGAGGUUAUGAAAAUAUCGAUACACUUGUUCUUGCUGGUUUACUGAUGGAGAGUGAUGACAGUACCAAGUUUGUUCAAAUGCACGACGUGGUUCGUAAAAUGGCUUUGUGGGUGGCUUCUGAUCUUGGGAAGAACAGAGAAAGAUGGGUUGUGGAAGCCGGUGUUGGGUUACGUGAUAUGGUACCUGUUCAAGACUGGACCGGAGUGAGAAAGAUGUCGCUGAUGAAUAAUGAGAUUGAAGAGAUAUCUGGCGGUCACGAUUGUCAUCAACUUACGACUCUCUUUCUCCAACAAAACAGCAACUUGGUGCGUAUCUCUGGUGAGUUCUUUAGUAUAUGCCAAUGCUAGUUGUUUUGAAUAUGUCUUUCACUGAGCUAGAGGAAUUGCAGGAACAGAUAUCACGUUUGUUCGCUUUGCGAUAUCUCAACUUGUCACGGACAAAGAUAGAGCGACUGCCAGAUGGUUUAGGAAAGUUGAAACGUCUAGAACAUCUCAACUUGGAAACGACCAAGAGACUCAAGAGCAUUUAUGGGUUAUCAAAUGCAUCAAGUCUGGGGGUAUUGGCACUACUAGAUUCAAACGUUUCGCUCGAUGCUAGCACGAUAGAGGAGCUGCAACGCUUCGAACGACUAGAAAGGUUAAACAUAGACAUAUCCUCCAGUUCAGCUUUGAAGCAAUUGCUUAGCGCUCCUGAGUUGGCAUAUUGGAUUGAAGAGGUGUGUAUUAGAGAUCUUCAGAGUUACGAAGCAUGUCUGGUUUUGCCAAAAACAAUGAUGCAACUCCGUAAGCUCAUCAUAAAGAGGUGUGGUGUGUUGGAGAUAGAUAUUGGGAGAGCAUCAUACGACACGUUUCUGAUACAUCCAAAACUAGGGAGCCUCUCAAGUGUGACUAUAACUUGUUAAUCUUUUACCAACCGCUUGUGUUACACAACGACCACUGUGUGUUACACACGAG